rnacentral:tRNA from 1 species
AUAGUUAUAGUAUAAUAAAUACUUUUGAUUUCCACUCAGAUAAUCUUUACUCGAUUAAAGUGACUAUA